UACGAAAGGGGCUAGCGUUGUUCGGAAUUACUGGGCGUAAAGCGCACGUAGGCGGCCUUGUAAGAUGGGGGUGAAAUCCCCGGGCUCAACCCGGGAAUUGCCUUCAUGACUGCAAAGCUCGAGGAUGCGAGAGGUGAAUGGAAUUCCGAGUGUAGAGGUGAAAUUCGUAGAUAUUCGGAAGAACACCAGUGGCGAAGGCGAUUCACUGGCGCAUUUCUGACGCUGAGGUGCGAAAGCGUGGGGAGCAAACAGG
rnacentral:rRNA from 1 species